GCGGGUAUGACGGAAUUGGUAGACGUGCGAGAUUUAGGUUCUCGUGUCGCAAGGCGUGGGGGUUCGAGUCCCUCUACCCGCACCA
rnacentral:tRNA from 2 species